CCUGUAUGGAUAUAUACAUUCCACACUUAGAUGUACUAACAAAUAAACAAAUGUGUUAAAGCAGUAUGCAGUGACAGAAUGGACUACCAUAUUCUUGAAGUACAACUUACCAUUCCAGUGCCCUGCAUUGGAAAAUUGGUUGUAAAUCCCAUGUUCUGUGGCAUCCCAGGCGUCAUCAUCAUGGACUGAAAGCAUUUAGUAUACCUUUACAAUACAGGACUGAUGAAAUAUCCCAAAUAGAUAUUCUCAAAUAGACUAAAUGUUUGCAAAUAUUCUUUGAAAUUGAAAACAUAUAUGAACUACAAAACAGAAGUCAGAAGAGGUCCUGGAAUAAAUCUGAAAAUUGAAAG